rnacentral:rRNA from 1 species
CCUACGGGAGGCAGCAGUAGGGAAUCUUCCGCAAUGGGCGAAAGCCUGACGGAGCAACGCCGCGUGAGUGAAGAAGGCCUUCGGGUCGUAAAACUCUGUUAUAAGAGAAGAACAAAUUGUAGAGUAACUGCUACAGUCUUGACGGUAUCUUAUCAGAAAGCCACGGCUAACUACGUGCCAGCAGCCGCGGUAAUACGUAGGUGGCAAGCGUUGUCCGGAUUUAUUGGGCGUAAAGGGAGCGCAGGUGGUUUCUUAAGUCUGAUGUGAAAGCCCACGGCUUAACCGUGGAGGGUCAUUGGAAACUGGGAAACUUGAGUACAGAAGAGGAAUGUGGAACUCCAUGUGUAGCGGUGGAAUGCGUAGAUAUAUGGAAGAACACCAGUGGCGAAGGCGACAUUCUGGUCUGUUACUGACACUGAGGCUCGAAAGCGUGGGGAGCAAACAGGAUUAGAUACCCUGGUAGUCCACGCCGUAAACGAUGAGUGCUAGGUGUUGGAGGGUUUCCGCCCUUCAGUGCCGCAGUUAACGCAUUAAGCACUCCGCCUGGGGAGUACGGCCGCAAGGU